UCUACAGCAGGAUGUUUAUGACAGGACGAGAUAACGGAUGCUCAGCCACAGCAUAAAAAUCAUAAAAAGGUCACAACAUGACACAAUAUAUAUAUGAAACACAGAGAUAAGUUAUGAUGGGGUCCCGUCACCGCCUUUUUCUCACCUGCAGAUUCUCAGUUUGUGUUUGUUGGAAGAGCCAGAAGGAUUAACCAAACUACCAUUUUGUGGACUUUUAUUUUGAAACCAUCACUAUGGAGUGCAGUGGCAGCCAAUGUCGAGUUUGGCUCAUAUUUAUAUUCAUCUUUUGCUGAACGUGGAAAAAUUCUGAUCUCAAUACAGGUGUGUUCAGACAGAGACCGGCAGAUGUGACACAAAAAUACAGAACACCUAUAACUCCUACCCAGUGGACAUUCUAUGUGUGGGAUUUUUUGCAUUUUUGGUUUGUUGUGAUGUUUAUUUAUUUUCUACUUGGACUUUGGCGCAGGAACGCCUAUGAAUGGAUGUACACCACACCUGCAGUGCUACCCUAUGGAUUUCAUGUGUUUUUCAUCAUCAACUUUUGUUUGAACGUGAUGUGGUUGUUUCUGUUGGACAGAGAGUGGCUUCUAUCGCUGCUGAUAACCUCAAUGUUACUGAUGCUCACCACAUACAUGAUGCUUUUUCUCUCAUGUCAAGGACUGAAGGUCUAUGGAGCCUGGCUCAGCAAAUAUCACAACAAAGACCUCUGGCUCUUGAGAAUAAUACCUAUUUGACAUCAAACUGCCGUGUAUUUGGCUUCUGGACUAAAAUGAGUUUGAAACCCCUGGUGCAGAAUGGAGUGGCGGUGUAUGCAACAUGGGCCACACUCUCCAGCCUGCUGAACAUGACGAUAUACUUACAGCACCGAACAGAAACACCCACAUGUGACUGUGCACUGCUGGCUCUGCUGCUGCUUCUGAUGGAAUUGUUAGGCUGGUUUCUACUGGAGAACUUCUACCUCGAUGAACACGUACGUUACAUCCUGACCAUCUACCCUGUGGUGACCCUGUGGCUGACGGGCGUCCUGAGGAACUUUGAAUCCUCUGACACACAAGUGUACACGUUUGCAGCAUUCAUUCUGGCUAUUUCCGUCAUCCUGUUUGUGGUUCGUGUCGUCCUGGUCACAUGGAGGCAUCAAAAAAAGCAGCUUUUCAAACACACUGAACCCAUUUUGUCCCCAGUAGAAAUAUCUUUGACACAAAACAGCCUGUUUCUGUAACCGUAUACAUAGAGUUGAUGUAAGUAAAUGAAGAGCUUUUAUAGAUUUUGGGUUGUUUCUGCAGAAUAGAUUCCAGACACAAAAGCAUUUAAGUACAACUUUGAAGAAAACAAUGUUGUUGUUUUUUUAACUCACCUGUUGUUUGUUCUCAGAAUAAAGACAGAAAUGUUACAGUGCA
rnacentral:lncRNA from 1 species